rnacentral:rRNA from 1 species
CUACGGGGGGCUGCAGGCGAGAAAACUUUGCAAUGUGGGAAAGCACGACAAGGUUAAUCCGAGUGGUUUGUGCUAAACGAACCUUUGACAGUCCUAGAAACACUGUUGAAUAAGGGGUGGGCAAGUUCUGGUGUCAGCCGCCGCGGUAAAACCAGCACCUCAAGUGGUCAGGAUGAUUAUUGGGCCUAAAGCAUCCGUAGCCGGCUCUGUAAGUUUUCGGUUAAAUCUGUACGCUCAACGUACAGGCUGCCGGGAAUACUGCAGAGCUAGGGAGUGGGAGAGGUAGACGGUACUCGGUAGGAAGGGGUAAAAUCCUUUGAUCUAUUGAUGACCACCUGUGGCGAAGGCGGUCUACCAGAACACGUCCGACGGUGAGGGAUGAAAGCUGGGGGAGCAAACCGGAUUAGAUACCCGAGUAGUC